AGGAUAUAGAUGGAUUUCUAGUCGGAGGUGCUUCGUUGAAGGGUCCUGAAUUUGGAACAAUCGUUAACUCUGUUACUGCCAAGAAAGUCGCUGCUUGAUAAUUUUUUAGGAGCCCCUCGUGUCAAGCAAAAGAGGAAAGGGUGGCCAUGUUUUGUAUUCAUAUCAACAUCCAUUGGGGUUUUUUUUCAUGCUAAUCAAGUUUUCAGCGUGUUUAGGGUCUUCUUUCAGUGAAGGCAAGAAAAUAAUAUCCUUCUGUUGUAUUCCCGAGGCUACUUUGCUAUAGAAUAAUAGAGCACAUAAAUUAUUG
rnacentral:misc_RNA from 1 species